rnacentral:rRNA from 1 species
GUGGGGAAUCUUGCGCAAUGGGCGAAAGCCUGACGCAGCCAUGCCGCGUGAAUGAUGAAGGUCUUAGGAUUGUAAAAUUCUUUCACCGGGGACGAUAAUGACGGUACCCGGAGAAGAAGCUCCGGCUAACUUCGUGCCAGCAGCCGCGGUAAUACGAAGGGGGCUAGCGUUGCUCGGAAUUACUGGGCGUAAAGGGCGCGUAGGCGGACAGCUUAGUCAGAGGUGAAAGCCCAGGGCUCAACCUUGGAAUUGCCUUUGAUACUGGCUGUCUUGAGUUUGGGAGAGGUGAGUGGAACUCCGAGUGUAGAGGUGAAAUUCGUAGAUAUUCGGAAGAACACCAGUGGCGAAGGCGACUCACUGGCCCAAUACUGACGCUGAGGCGCGAAAGCGUGGGGAGCAAACAGGAUUAGAUACCCGAGUAGUCA